UUUCCGUAGGUGAACCUGCGGAAGGAUCAUUACCGAGUUAGGGUCUCCUCCGUGAGGCCCGACCUCCCAACCCCGUGUCUAAUAAACCUGUUUGUGUUGCUUCGGCGGAACGGCAGUUGCCCACCCCCACACCCGGGGGAGGGAGACCGUCGCCGGGGGCGUCCAGCCCUUGGAGAGCGUCCGCCGAUGGCCCAACCAAACAAACUCCCAAACCAAAUAAUAGUACCUAAAACUUCUGAAUCAGACUUUUGAUAUACCAAUCAAAAACAAAACUUUCAACAACGGAUCUCUUGGUUCGGGCAUCGAUGAAGAACGCAGC
rnacentral:misc_RNA from 1 species